GUCUACAGCCGUGCCACUCUGAACAAGCCUGAUGUCUGAUCUCAGAAGCUAAGCAUGGUUGGGCCUGGUUAGUACUUGGAUGGGAGACUACCUUGGAAGACCAGGUGUUGUAGGCA
rnacentral:rRNA from 1 species